rnacentral:rRNA from 1 species
UACGUAGGGUGCAAGCGUUAAUCGGAAUCACUGGGCGUAAAGGGUGCGUAGGCGGGUCUUUUAAGUCAGGGGUGAAAUCCUGGAGCUCAACUCCAGAACUGCCUUUGAUACUGAGGAUCUUGAGUUCGGGAGAGGUGAGUGGAACUGCGAGUGUAGAGGUGAAAUUCGUAGAUAUUCGCAAGAACACCGGUGGCGAAGGCGGCUCACUGGCCCGGAACUGACGCUGAGGCACGAAAGCGUGGGGAGCAAACAGG